rnacentral:lncRNA from 1 species
AGGUGCCGGGCAGGCAGCACUGGGAGCGCUCGGCGACUUGGCUGGAGGCCGAAGGUGCCGCCCCUCGGGGACCAGAGCGUCUUUGCAAGCCCAUAGAAGAAACAGUGAAGAGUAAGAGGAAAAGGCUGCCAGAAGGGGAGUCUCACAACAGGAAGAAGUAACAGCUACGCAUAGAGGAAGGGAAGCUGUUCAAGAGCGGGCCCAGGAACACAACACAGAACCAUUGUGUGAGCUAUUCCGGGCAGACUGCCUAGGUCUCCAGGCAGCUCGGGGCCAGAGGCCUAACCCUCUUACACAGAGGCCUUGACCUGAGUUGCCUGGAGAGGGGGGAAUUAUAGCACAGAGAAAACUGUUUAAAGAGGAAGGGAAGCAUGUGACCCACUGGGGGUACAUUCCCACCCCAAUUAUUUAAAAGUAAUAUUUAACAUUUAAAAGGUUUUGAAGCUGAAAAGGCCACACUGCAGCUUUGUGGAAAACUUAGCUCUGUGGAAUUAUUUGUUCCCUGUGGGUUCUGGGUGUUGAUUUUACACUAAAAAAAUUAUUUUUGGAGUCGAUGAACACACAGUAUU